GCUGGCCACUGACAAGAGCAGACAUGUGUUGCAGGCUCCAGCUGGGAGGCGAGGAUAUAGAAACCAGUCAGGUUGAGACUCCAACAACUCUCCCGCCAAUGCAGCGGAGAGGCAGCAGAGGCCAUGAGGCUACCAGCAUUGGUCUCUAUCACACAUUACAUCUUGAUUUGGAUCCUGGCAGAUUGAGAAGUAUGCUAAAAAGAAUCAGAGCCUGUAAUCCUCAACAGGAUUCUGACCAGUCCAUGCCAGAAGCACAGGAGGCAAGGGGACAUUCCUUGUGGAUUUUCCCUGUUGCACAUCCAUGCAAGGAUUAUGCAGAAUCUAGGCAUGUAAUAAGUUGGCUGCCCAAGUACGUACUUAUGGUCUCAGGAGUAUGUACCUAUGUUCCCAUUCUGCUGCCUGUGCCUACACUACUAUUUUUAGCGAGCUAGCUUGAUCAAAGCUAGCUCAGGUAUGCCCACAUGUGUUGCAAUUGCACCUCCUGAUUGCAGUGUAGGCAUAUACCCACAAUGGUCCAGUUCACUGUUCCCCUGCACUUUGGGGAGUCAUUGACACAAGAGCAAAGUGUGUGCAAAAUGCUUCCCCUUUCUGAUUUGACAGUACUUUACACCUACUUCGUACUGGUGUAUAAAGAGCUACACAAGAAUUGGAGAAAUACUGAAUGGAACAAGUCAAAGUACAUAAAGUUAAGCAUAUGCAUAAAUUAUUUGCUGGAUCAAAGUCACUUAUCAUGGGGCUACUUGAGAAUAUUUUGAGGUAAACUAGUUGCAGAAUGGAGAGAGAUUUACUGAGAUACUGAACAACUUCUUUGCUUUCUGUUUGUGACAGAGAGAUGGAUGAGACACUGUGAUAUAUGCUAAAUACCAAUAAAGGAAAAGGUUUUAAAACAUCAAAAAAAUACUCUGAGCAAUAGUAUACAAUAUCAGCCAUCAUCUGAGGUAUUAUAUGUCUAAACUGUUGCCUGACUAUAACCCUGGAGCAAGGACUGUCUCUCUCUGUUUUGUUAGCCCAUUGAGCACUUAAAUAAUAUUAAAGUCAAUAAAUUAAAAAUAUUUAGGGGUCGUUUGUGCAGAGUAGAAGGCUCCCGCGAUACUAACCUUGGUUUGGGGAGCACUUAUUCCAGCUCUGCCGGUGCUGUUUGGGCCAGUCCUGUAGCUCCACCUGGAAUCCAUACUCCUCUUUGUCCAGUGAUGCACAUGACAAACAGCUGGAUGAAUAAGUCUACCAGCCAACCUUGGGCAGCCAGUGGCCAACUGAAUAGCUUCUACCGAAGAGAAUGCUUUAACGCUAAACAUAAUCUUUCAGUUGUCCACCCCAGCAUGUUAAAGGUAAACUUGUCAAGGAUAUGGCUAUUUUAAUUUUGAACUAGUAUCAUCUGCUGUGUUGCCAACCCUCAGGAUUUUAUCACAAGCCUUGCAAUAUUUGGUAUUUUUCUUAAAGCCCCAGCUACUCAAAUCAAU